GGGGAUGUAGCUCAGUGGUAGAGCGUGUGCUUCGCAUGUACAAAGUCCUGGGCUCAAACCCCAUCAUCUCCA